UACGUAGGUGGCAAGCGUUGUCCGGAUUUACUGGGUGUAAAGGGUGCGCAGGCGGGAUAGCAAGUCAGCUGUGAAAACUCCGGGCUUAACCUGGAGACUGCAGUUGAAACUGUUGUUCUUGAGUGAAGCAGAGGUAGGCGGAAUUCCGAGUGUAGCGGUGAAAUGCGUAGAUAUUCGGAGGAACACCAGUGGCGAAGGCGGCCUACUGGGCUUUAACUGACGCUGAGGCACGAAAGCAUGGGGAGCAAAC
rnacentral:rRNA from 1 species